ACUGGGCCUCUAGUAUAUACUAAAAUUGGAAUGAUACAGAGAAGAUUACCAUGGCCUCAAUGCAAGGAUGACACAGAAAUUUGUGAAGUGUUCCAUAUUAAA